AUGUUAGAAAAUAAUAAAUACUAAGAGAAAAUGUAAAACAGGGCAAUAGAAUCAGGGUGUUUGGAUUAGUAAAAUUUUAAAUAGGGUGGUUAAUGAAGACCUCAUUGAGAAAGGGAGAUUUGAGUUACUACUUGAAGGAAUUGAGGGAAUGAGCCAUAUAGACAUAUGGAGAAAGAAUAUUAGAGGGAACAGCCAAUGCAAAGGAUCCAGUGUGACUGGGAAGGGGAUGAGGUCCUUGUGUGCCACUGUAAAGGUUUGCUUUGACUUUGCUCUGAGUCAUCUGGGCAUACUCUGAGUCAGACGGGAAGCCACUGGAGGGUUCUGAACAGGGGAGUGACAUGAUCUGGUUUAUGAUUUGAAAAAGGAGCACUUUCACUGUUGCCUUGAGGGGCAGGAAGAUGGAAGAGGGGAGACCACUUAGGGUCUAGCACCAUCAUCCAGGCCCCGGGAGGUGUUGGCUUAGAGCCGGGUUGGAAGCAGUUAGGGUGGUAUAUUUCCACAGGUUCUUUCCAAAGUGUUGGUCCGUCCGUGUGCAGCGACGAACUGUUUUGCCACAACCAUUCCUGCUUUGCUGAUGAAGAAGGGGAUUCAGAACCUAUCAAAGCAAAGGGAUUUGAAUGAAGCCAAUUCGCUACACCCAUUUUCAUAGGACAUUAUGAGAGCACAGGCUCCGGACGCGCAGGCUCAGCGGCCAUGGCUCACGGGCC